rnacentral:rRNA from 1 species
UGGGGAAUAUUGCACAAUGGGCGAAAGCCUGAUGCAGCAACGCCGCGUGAGUGAUGAAGGUCUUCGGAUUGUAAAGCUCUGUCUUUUGGGACGAUAAUGACGGUACCAAAGGAGGAAGCCACGGCUAACUACGUGCCAGCAGCCGCGGUAAUACGUAGGUGGCGAGCGUUGUCCGGAUUUACUGGGCGUAAAGGGUGCGUAGGCGGAUGUUUAAGUGAGAUGUGAAAUACCCGGGCUUAACUUGGGUGCUGCAUUUCAAACUGGAUAUCUAGAGUGCAGGAGAGGAGAAUGGAAUUCCUAGUGUAGCGGUGAAAUGCGUAGAGAUUAGGAAGAACACCAGUGGCGAAGGCGAUUCUCUGGACUGUAACUGACGCUGAGGCACGAAAGCGUGGGUAGCAAACAGGAUUAGAUACCCUGGUAGUCCACGCCGUAAACGAUGAGUACUAGGUGUAGGAGGUAUCGACCCCCUUCUGUGCCGCAGUA